rnacentral:rRNA from 1 species
GUCCACGCCGUAAACGAUGUCAACUAGCCGUUGGAUACCUUAGAGUCUUUAGUGGCGCAGCUAACGCACUAAGUUGACCGCCUGGGGAGUACGGCCGCAAGGUUAAAACUCAAAUGAAUUGACUGGGGCCCGCACAAGCGGUGGAGCAUGUGGUUUAAUUCGAUGCAACGCGAAGAACCUUACCGCCCCUUGACAUCCUGGGAACUCGCUAGAGAUAGCUUGGUGCCGAAAGGAACCCAGAGACAGGUGCUGCAUGGCUGUCGU